GUGUGAACAGAGGAGGGAGAAGAGCCUUUGAAUGGGGCACUGCACUGAAGGGGGUUACAUGUUUCCUCAGACUGCCAUAGCCUGGACACUUCGGUCCACCGUUAACUGAGGGUGUUUUAUCUGGGAAACACCUAGAGCCAUCACACCAAAGAGGAGCAAACAGUAAAAAGUUUUAUCAUGAACACAUGAUCUUUGAAGAACAAAAUCUACUCCCUUGGCAGUGAUCAAAAAGGAAAAGUGUGGGAGUGUUUCCUUCAAAGGAGACCUUCAGUUUCCUUCUGCACACGUAGGAUCAUUAGUGGAUGGAAAGCAGGAGAAGAUACC